GCUUUUUCCAAGGUUUCUGCAAAAAUAAAACUGAAAUUCAGACUGGAGCAGGUCACCCUGCAAUCCAUCUUUCAAAGAGCACAUGCCCACCCUUUCCCUUACCUUGGAGAGGGUCAGCAGACCCAGGCUGGACGUCAGUGCCCACAGGGAGGGCCAUGCCACCUAUCCUGUGGGCUGGGCCUUUGCUCUCCCUGCUCACCUGCCUGGCCUCCCUUGCAGGGCCAGCUCCUCCCCUGCUGGUCACUGCCAGUGCUCCCUGGGGAGUGUCACUGAUUGUCCUGAUUAUUCUGAGACUUUAGUUAAAGCUAUUCAUUCCACCUUGGCCGUGGCUCAGGAGCCCUCUGGAGCGACAGCCACCUUGCCAGCCUGUUGCCUGCCCCAUCGCUCCAGAGCCACGUUGGCCAUAUAAAGAAGGGCUUGUCACCCAGUGGGUUUCCCUUCUUGUGGCAGCUGCUGCUCCUGGACGCACCAGGGACCAGGGCGACUUUGCUACCAGAGUAGCUCAGCCCCGAGCUUCUCAGACUUCAGUUGCUGCCAUGCCCACCCUGCCGUGCCCACCCUGCCAUGCCCACCUCUGGAGCCACGGCGGCUGUGGAGGGUCCCGGAACAGAAAUAUUACAGAGAGGAAAUAAAAUGCAGCAGAACAUUUCCUCUAGUGAUGAAA